rnacentral:rRNA from 1 species
UACGAAGGGGGCUAGCGUUGUUCGGAAUUACUGGGCGUAAAGCGUGCGCAGGCGGUUUUGUAAGUCUGACGUGAAAGCCCCAGGCUCAACCUGGGAGGUGCGCUUGGAACUGUUGGGCUUGAGUUCGGGAGAGGAGCGUGGAAUUCCCAAUGUAGAGGUGAAAUUCGUAGAUAUUGGGAAGAACACCGAUGGCGAAGGCGGCGCUCUGGACCGAGACUGACGCUGAGGCGCGAAGCGUGAAAAACAAACAGG